rnacentral:lncRNA from 1 species
GGCCGCCGGCGGUGAGGUGGUCGCGAGGCGACGUCCGGCACGGCGGGACGAGCAUUACGUUGCCGAAGCCUCGGAGCGUUCCUGUGGAGGCGCAGUGCGAGAUGGGAGGUUUUCCGAGCUGCUGGUUCAUCUGAGGACGUACAACCUGAUACCGGUAAGUCUUGUCAGGGACAAGCAUGCACUGAGCUGCGGCUGUCCAGUCAGACAAACUCAGAGGUGCUUGAAGACUUCUCUGAAGGCUGUGAUGACCCUAAGAAGAGAGCACAGCUAA